UACGAACGCUGGCGGCGUGCUUAACACAUGCAAGUCGAGCGGUAAGGCCCUUUCGGGGGUACGACGAGCGGCGAACGGGUGAGUAACACGUGGGUGACCUGCCCUCAGCUCUGGGAUAAGCCUGGGAAACCGGGUCUAAUACUGGAUAUGACUCCAUGACGCAUGUUGUGGGGUGGAAAGCCUUGUGCGGCUGAGGAUGGGCCCGCGGCCUAUCAGCUUGUUGGUGGGGUGAUGGCCUACCAAGGCGACGACGGGUAGCCGGCCUGAGAGGGCGGACCGGCCACACUGGGACUGAGACACGGCCCAGACUCCUACGGGAGGCAGCAGUGGGAAUCUUGCGCAAUGGGCGAAAGCCUGACGCAGCGACGCCGCGUGAGGGAUGACGGCCUGU
rnacentral:rRNA from 1 species